rnacentral:misc_RNA from 1 species
GUGAAUCAUCAAAUUUUUGAACGCAAAUUGCACUCUCUUCGGAGAGUAUGCCUGUUUGAGGGUCAGCCUAAAUAAAAUCGACAUAGUCGCUGUUUCGUGGUGAUAUUGGUCGGAACUUGGCUCAUCUUAAACCUUUUGGUUUUAAGCGGAUUAAAAUUUUCUUUACGAUUCCACGAACGUUUCUAAGAUUUAUUUACGCGUUUAUGGUAUCGAUCUUUAUUAGAUGUUGCCUUUGCACCGGAUG